GGAAAGAUGAAAAGAACUUUGAAAAGAGAGUUAAAUAGUACGUGAAAUUGUUGAAAGGGAAACGAUUGAAGUCAGUCAUGCUAAUAGGGAAUCAACUUGAUGGUUCGUUCCCCGGGAGCGAUCUUUCUUGUGCACUUCCUUGUUUGGCAAGUUAGCAUCAAUUUCGGUUGUCAUCAAAAAAUUGAGGGAAUGUGACUUCUUUCGGGAAGUGUUAUAGACCUUAGUUAUAUGUGAUAACCGGGAUUGAGGAUUGCAGCGGAUGCUUUUGGGCUAGUCACCUACCUUCUGACGGUUACCCUGCUUUCGAUAGCUUGCUAACGAUUGUGGGAUUCAACAGUCUAGAUGUUAGAGUGAUCUUAUAUUCGCUAAGGAUGCUGACGUAAUGGCUUUAAACGACCCGUCUUGAAACACGGACCA
rnacentral:rRNA from 1 species